rnacentral:rRNA from 1 species
AACGAACGCUGGCGGCAUGCCUAACACAUGCAAGUCGAACGAGACCUGCGGGUCUAGUGGCGCACGGGUGCGUAACGCGGGGGAACCUGCCCUUAGGUUCGGAAUAACUCCCCGAAAGGGGUGCUAAUACCGGAUAAUGUCUUCGGACCAAAGAUUUAUCGCCUUUGGAUGGGCCCGCGUUGGAUUAGCUAGUUGGUAGGGUAAAAGCCUACCAAGGCGACGAUCCAUAGCUGGUCUGAGAGGAUGAUCAGCCACACUGGGACUGAGACACGGCCCAGACUCCUACGGGAGGCAGCAGUGGGGAAUAUUGGACAAUGGGCGAAAGCCUGAUCCAGCAAUGCCGCGUGAGUGAUGAAGGCCUUAGGGUUGUAAAGUUCUUUUACCCGGGAUGAUAAUGACAGUACCGGGAGAAUAAGCUCCGGCUAACUCCGUG